CAGCCUGGAAAGACCGCUAAAGCUCUUCUCGACCAACCACCUCGUUUUUAAUUUGUGGGGCGACUGAGAAGACGGGAAGUGACGGAGGGGUCCCAGCUGGAGCCUAUGCUGUAUGUCCUUAGGAUUCAAGCAUUGCUGGAGGACUGGUAGAGCAGGACUUCAGGACUCUAUUUAUAUGUAGCUCCUGGAGUAUCUUAGGAAAGAAGCCAUCCUAAGAGAGAGCUGAGUCCCCAAGCCUGGUUCAAGGAUGUGAGCCACUGUCAGAAAGGAGAAGAAAUGGUGAAAGCAUCAUGGUCUCUGUCAUUUAGAUCAGCCUCCAGCUCAGCCUUCAUGGAUUCAUGCCUCUGUCAUAAGGAAUAAUCCACUACUGAGGACCCAAUGCCCCACAAAGUGAACCUUGGCCUCCCACAGAAGAACACUUUAAGGAGCUACCAACUCACCUUUGCUCUAGUGCAGUACCCGUAUUAUGGGUGGUAAGAGUCCUGAAUCAGUCUUUUGCCAACGACAGAUGGGUCGACCACAACAAAUGGACAGUUUGCACAUGAGACUUAAUGUACAACUCCUUGUUUGUUUUUCUUUGACAGUGGAAGGACAUUGGACCUGACAUACAGAAGUCUCUCAGUAAAGAUUUGCUGUUUUUGAAAUUCCAUGGACACUGAAAGGCCUAGAAGCAUUAAAACCCCAUGGACAAUGGGCAACCUCUAGUGCCCAGAUUGUGGUCCCUGAAUGACAUUCGGCAUUUAAAAGAACCAGGAUCUUCCAUGGCUGAUUCCAAGUUUGGGGCAGUAUAUGUACAAGAUAAGGUUUACACAUCUUGAGGAGCCCAAAACUAUGAAGUUACCAAAGAUCGGUGGGUUUUAUCAAAAGGACUCAAGAGCCAACAUGAAGGGGCUCCAAAUGGUCAAAGAUGGGAUAAUUCAAAGUGAAAAAAAUGGAUGACACCAAUGUAUCUCACAUGGAGGGAACUGUCUUUGUGAAAACUCUUUGAAAUGCCCUGCAGACACAGAUGUCAGCAGAUGCCCAGCUCAGACAAGGGGAAGCUGUUUUGCAUGAAACAAAGAGAGGAAUAUGGUUUAUUGCUUGUGAAAAAGAGGG